rnacentral:rRNA from 1 species
AACGUAGGAGACAAACGUUAUCCGGAGUUACUGGGCGUAAAGGGCGUGUAGGUGGUUUUGUAAGUCUGGCGUGAAAUUUUUCGGCUUAACCGGGAAAGGUCGUCGGAUACUGCAGGACUAGAGGACGGUAGAGGCGUGUGGAAUUCCGGGUGUAGUGGUGAAAUGCGUAGAGAUCCGGAGGAACACCAGUGGCGAAAGCGGCUCACUGGACCAUAACUGACGCUGAUGCACGAAAGCUAGGGGAGCAAACAGG